rnacentral:tRNA from 1 species
AAAACAUUAGGUUAACUAAACCUUUGGUCUUCAAAACCGGAAAUAAAUAUUUAUUUAUGUUUUG